AGAGAGGAUGCACACUCUGAAGAGGGCAGGCAGCUUCUGCACCGAGGGAGCAAAGGGGCGUGUCAGGGGCAGCUGCUGGAAGGAGGCGCAAGCACCACGGAGAGUCUGGGAUGCCCAGCCAAGGAGCCCUGGAAGGGUUGCCCUGGGGACUGACACUGUGGGCUCUGUGUUUUAGCCAAGUCACCCAGGCAGCUGAACAGAAGAUGGACUGGAGGGAGAAGCCUGGAUGUAGGAUCGCUCAGCAACAAAGGAGCCAGAAAAGGCAAGGUGUACACACCGUGUGCAGCAUGGGCGAGCUGCAGGCAUGCAGAUGAGGAAACUGAGGCUUGGAGAGGCUCUCUGCCUUUGUCAACCUGGAGAUGCUGGGAAGGAAGUGAGGCCCAUCCCACCUCAGAUGCCUGUCCUCUGUCGUCAGGAGCAUUCUCUUGUUCUUCCGGGCUUGGCCAAGCGGUGGUAAACCCCACAUGUGGUUCUGUGGUUGCCCACACAGUCCUAAAAAUAGCCAACAGGAACCCAGGGGCUCCCCCUUGGUGAGUGGCAGCAGGCCCAGUCCUCAGGCAGCCACCAACCUGCUCACUCCCCACAGGCAAGCAGGUCCUGUCUAGGAAGGGGCUGGGUGGCCUGGGUCCCAUGCAUGAUGAGCCAGAGGCUGUGCCAAGCUUAUAGCAAAUAUUAUUUUAUUUCAUUAUGUUUUCUUACAUCUGUGAUGUGGAGGCCAUAGCUCCACUGGACUCAUGAGGAGACUGAGGCUCAGAGCAAUGAAGUGACCUGCUCAAAGUUAAGGAGCUUCAGUUUGGACCCAAUUUGUUCUGAUCCUAAGGUCACUAUCCUUAAUCCCUCUCCCUGUGGGGUCUUCCCUAUCUUGAGCCUGUGGACAGCUGUGCAGUGGCAAGAAAAAGGCCUUCAGAGCUACGCAGACCUGGCUUCAAAUCCCAGCCUCCCUGAUGAGCCCUGGUGGUCUUGCAUGCUUGCCCUUGGGACUCAGACACCAUAUUGUGAGGAAGCCCAAGCUACAUGCAGAGGCCACUAUAGUUGUUCUGGCCAACAGCCCAAGCUUCAGCUGCCAGACAUAUAAAUAAACCAACUCUUCAAAUGAUUUCAGUUUCCAGACUUCAGUGCAUCCCAGGAGCUGUAACGCUCACUGCGAAGAUCUGCAGCUUCACUCCUGAGCCCAGCGAGACCGUGAACCCACCGGGAGGAACGAACAACUCCAGACCCGCUGCCUUAAGAGCUGUAACACUCACUGCGAAGGUCUGCAGCUUCACUCCUGAGCCAGCGAGACCACGAACCCACCCGAAGGAAGAAACUCCGAACACAUCUGAACAUCAGAAGGGAUAGACUCCAGAUGCGCCACCUUAAGAGCUGUAACACUCACCGCGAGGGUCCGCAGCUUCAUUCUUGAAGUCAAUGAGACCAAGAACCCACCAAUUCCGGACACAAAAUGACACAGUCCCUGCCCACAUGGAGCUGACAUUCUCAUGGAGAGAAAGGGACAAAUAAACAAAUGUACAAUACUCCAAGUAGUCAUAGUGCUGUGAAGAAAAUAAAGUGAUACAAGGGAACUAUGAGAACCUUGGGAAUGGGGGCGCUGUUUUAAACAGGCCCAUUUGGAAGUUUCUCUUUCCUUUGAGCCAAGUCCUGAAGGAAAUGAGAGAGGGAUAUGGGGGGAAGAAUGUUCCAGGCAGAGAGAUCAGCCAGUGCAAAGGCCCUGAGGCAGGAGUGUGCCCCAAGGGGUGUAGGAACAGUGUGGAGCUGGUAGGGCUGUGGCAGAGUGAGGGUGAGAGAGAAAGGAAGGGGGUGAUGGGCCUGGGGGGCAGACCAUGCUGAGCAGCGGCUUUUAAUUUUUAUUGAUUACAUCUUCCAUAAGAAAUCAGUUUUAUAUGGCAAUCCAAGACAGAUAUCCACAUAUAAACAUACAACUGAGAUAAACUAUAUGUGUGCACUCUGAUAUAUUUUAUUUUAUUUUAUUCUGUUUCAUUAAAAAAUAACAUGAGUAAUGAUCUUCAAA
rnacentral:lncRNA from 1 species